AAACCCUAGCGCUAAAACCUUACCUACGUUAUAAAUGGUUGGCAACGCGACAACCACAAGCAAAACGAAAAGGAAAAAACCAAGCGGGGAACAGCUGUUUAAUCAAACUAAAACGGCAGAUUGAAAAAUGUGCACGUUUUAUGUGAAUAACAGCAAAAAAUUAGAGGAAAUGGUAAAUAUAACUAAAAAUUACAAAAAUUCUCUCAAAGAAAGGGGCAGGCUAAAUCCACUUAGAACGUCCGGUUUCCCAAAACUAAAAACUAGUGUGCCUCACAGUGAAAAGCUGGGAUUAUCCGUGGGUAACCCAAGAUCGCUAAAAAACACGUACACUUCACUCAGAAACUACACUAUUUUGCCAUAUACUAUAUACUCAUGUAUAUGUAUGUGUAUAAAAAUAAUAAAGCACAGGAAGGAAAAAUAAAAUAAAAUUAUAUAAAUUUUUCUAAAUAUUGAGCUCCAUAGAAUAUUGGGGGAUGUUCAUAAAAACAUUAGCAUGAAAAUAUGUUUGACUUUCACAAAAAUGUGAAAACCAUUGCCAAACGAAGAAAACACAUAAAUUACAGUGUAUACAAAAAUACGUACAAACAUAUUUACGAUGCACAUAGAAUAGUAAACUAAAUAUGUACACUUAAAAACAACCCUAUAUUGCAAUAAAAAUAUGAUACAUAAAAAUAUAAUACAUACACAUAUAUAUAUACGUAGUUACGAAAUUAGAAUAAGAAAAUGUGUAAAAGGAAGAACAUUUAUUAAAUAAAAUCAAGUUUAAAAUUGAAAUCUCUCUAACUUUUUAGUUUUUAAGCUUAACUGGUUUUAGUAUUAUGGAACUUUAAGUAUGUUCGAUAUGGUCUAAUAAUUGUUGAAUCCUUUUAUUCUCGACUGAAAAGCAAACUCAUUUAUAUGUUGCUAUUUUCUUCUAUUUUUGAUUCCAAGUCUCACUUCCUUUAAUUUCUUUCUACGCUAGCUAAAACUACCUCAUUAUACAAUAGCAAUAAGAGCUCGUUCUCGUUGAAGUAAGGUUAUUACCUCAGGUUUAUAUUAAAGAUAUAUAUAUUAAA